UGUGUUUAUACUUCACCCCAAAAUGUAUUAUUUUUUAUAUUUCCAAGUUUUAAAUUCUGCUCUUACGGUGUUCCAUUUCUGUAUUUAGCCAUUUAUACUCGAGCUAAUUUCUAACACAGUCCAGUCAUGAGUGUUAGUGAUUAAUCAUCAUCAUCUGUGCUAGGCCCUAGUGUUUCAGCUAGCUCUGAGCCGUUGCGCUAGUCAGUAGUGUUUCAGCUAGCUCUGAGCGUUGCGCUAGUCAGUAGUGUUUCAGCUAGCUCUGAGCCGUUGCGCUAGUCAGUAGUGUUUCAGCUAGCUCUGAGCGUUGCGCUAGUCAGUAGUGUUUCAGCUAGCUCUGAGCGUUGCGCUAGUCAGUAGAGUUUCAGCUAGCUCUGAGCGUUGCGCUAGUCAGUAGAGUUUCAGCUAGCUCUGAGCGUUGCGCUAGUGUUUGAAUCACCAGCAUUUAUUUAUUAAUACUCAUGAUUAUCUGCUAGUCUGUACUGUGUGGAAUCAUUUUUCAUUCUGUGCUAUUAAGGGCUAGUUGCUAGUGUUUAUGCUAGUCACACAUGGGCUAUUAGCUGGUUUCUGUGCAUUAGUGAGGGGUAGUCAGGAUCUGUGUGGGUAGUUAGCAUUUGGGCUAUUCGCACAUUACAAUAAAGAAUACAAAAUACAAAAUAAAUAAAACUCCAAUGUAAAUAAAACAUGACGUAAGCCGAAUCUACAGAAAAUAACAUGAUAUUAAUUUAAAUAAUUUAAUAACCAACUGAAAAACCUUUUGUUUUGGGGGUUUUGUUUGUUUUUAUUUUGAAAUUUGGACCAGACUCUGUAAAAGUUCUUUAACUGUAGUGUGUUAAUUUAUCUUUAAAAUGUUCUUUUGGUAGUGAUUUUAUAUUUAACAUCUUUGUGUGUGUGUGUGUGUGAGAGAGAGAGAGUGAAUGAUGAUGAUGUUCAGAUUUCAGUCUAUUUAUAAAUACGUUUGAUUUAUUCUGUGUGAUAACAUCAGUGUUGCAGUGUUUGUUACCCCUCUCUGUAGGGCCUAGUACUCUUCUGUCCCCUUGUACACGGUUUUAUAGAUUUUAAAGCAAUGACAUUUAGUUUAAAAUGACUCAGUCGGCGUUAACUCAUGCUGAACGUUAUCUCUGUGACAGAAACAAAAUUAUUUUGGAAAAGUAACGUGUAAUCAUUUACUGAGAUUUAAAGUGAAGAUUUGAUGCUAAUAAUUGAGUCUCAGAUGGUGUGUUUUGCGCUAGUUGCUAAUGAUCGAGGUUAGCAGCGAUUCUGAUUAGCCGCUAGCUGUGAUUAGCCUGCUAUACAUAGAGAAAUGGGCGGAGCCAUCAUGUUAUCCGAAAUGUACAAAAUCGUUGAUUGUAAAUGAUGCUAAUUAGGAGUGAAAAUCUGUUAGCAUUUAGGUACUCGCUAGCAUAUUUACUUAAGUCAUAGACAUCAGGCCUAGUCGCUAGCGCUUUAACUAGUUAUUAGCAUCUGAGCUACCUGAACAUAAAUUGGGAUAAAUUAUAAAAAUGAAAAAAAUUCAGUGAAAUAAAAGAACAGCAUGAGAUAAAAAAGAGGUGAUUUAAAAUCUUAAACUUUAAUGUUUGAUUUCUGCACCACAGACAUUCGGGUACUACAAAGAGUGUAGUGUGUGUGUGUGAGUGUGUAGUGUGUGUAGUGAGAGUGUAGUGUAAGUGUGGUGUCAGUGUGUGAUUUGAGACGGAGCCUGAAUUCAGCGUAAUAAUUUAAAUAUUUUAAGGAACACUGCGAAUAUUUUGAAGGACAAUCGAAGGACUAUUUUAAUGAAGGUUUAAUUUCUCUACAACAGCACUGUGUGUGUGUGUGUGUGUGUGUGUGUGUGUGUGUGUGUGAUUUUCUCUCUCUGGUUGUGCUUUAUUACUCUGAUUGUGUAAUGAAACACUCCUCCUCUAUAAUAAUGAUAGAUGAAUAUGGGAUUGUAAUUGUACGGAUGAUUAUUUAUCCCGUUGUAGUCGAGGGUUAAUAAUCCGACACUGUGAUUGGUUAAACAGGAACACAGCCGCUCUCAGAUCUGUAUUUUUAUAUUUAUGGAGCUGUGUCGAUUUACAGAAACUAAUUUUUACACAAAUUCUGUGUUCAUUUGUGAAAUGAAUAAAUUUGGACUGAACGCAGCUGUUGUUUGUUUUUCUUUCUUUCUUUAAAAAAAAAAUCUAAAAUCAAUUCUCAGCCUUCAGAAUGAUGUUCUUAAAGUUCUUUUGAAAUGUUUACAUUUAAAUGUACAGUUA
ensembl:lncRNA